GAUGAAGAACGCAGCGAAAUGCGAUAAGUAAUGUGAAUUGCACAGUGAAUCAUCGAGUCUUUGAACGCACAUUGCGCCCCCUGGUAUUCCGGGGGGCAUGCCUGUCCGAGCGUCAUUGCUGCCCUCAAGCACGGCUUGUGUGUUGGGCCUCCGUCCUCCUCCCGGGGGACGGGCCCGAAAGGCAGCGGCGGCACCGCGUCCGGUCCUCGAGCGUAUGGGGCUUCGUCACCCGCUCUUGUAGGCCCGGCCGGCGCUUGCCGACACAUCAAUCUUUUUUCCAGGUUGACCUCGGAUCAGGUAGGGAUACCCGCUGAACUUAAGCAUAUCAAUAAGCGGAGGA
rnacentral:misc_RNA from 1 species